CGGGGUGCAGCAGGCGCGAAAACUUUACAAUGCGGGAAACCGUGAUAAGGGGACACCGAGUGCCAGCAUCAUAUGCUGGCUGUCCAGGUGUGUAAAAUACACCUGUUAGCAAGGGCCGGGCAAGACCGGUGCCAGCCGCCGCGGUAACACCGGCGGCCCGAGUGGUGAUCGUGAUUAUUGGGUCUAAAGGGUCCGUAGCCGGUUUGGUCAGUCCUCCGGGAAAUCUGAUAGCUCAACUAUUAGGCUUUCGGGGGAUACUGCCAGACUUGGAACCGGGAGAGGUAAGAGGUACUACAGGGGUAGGAGUGAAAUCUUGUAAUCCCUGUGGGACCACCUGUGGCGAAGGCGUCUUACCAGAACGGGUUCGACGGUGAGGGACGAAAGCUGGGGGCACGAACCGGAUUAGAUACCCGGGUAGUCCCAGCCGUAAACGAUGCUCGCUAGGUGUCAGACAUGGCGCGACCGUGUCUGGUGCCGCAGGGAAGCCGUGAAGCGAGCCACCUGGGAAGUACGGCCGCAAGGCUGAAACUUAAAGGAAUGGCG
rnacentral:rRNA from 1 species